UAGAGUGGCGGACUGGUGAGUAACGCGUGGGUAAUCUACCUUUAGGAUGGGGAUAGCUCCUAGAAAUAGGAGGUAAUACCGAAUGANCUUAUAUUCUUGUGGAGAGGGUAUAAGGAAAGGGAGCUACGGCUUCGCCUGANGAUGAGCUCGCNNCCCAUUAGCUAGUUGGUGUGGUAAAGGCAUACCAAGGCGACGAUGGGUAUCCGACCUGAGAGGGUGACCGACACAUUGGGACUGAGAACAGCCCAGACUCCUACGGGAGGCAGCAGCUAAGAAUCUUCCGCAAUGGACGCAAGUCUGACGGAGCGACGCCGCGUGAAUGAAGAAGGCCGAAAGGUUGUAAAAUUCUUUUAAGUCUGAAGAAUAAUUGAGGUAGGGAAUGACCUUGAGAUGACGGUAAGGCUUGAAUAAGCCCCGGCUAAUUACGUGCCAGCAGCCGCGGUAACACGUGAGGGGCGAGCGUUGUUCGGAAUUAUUGGGCGUAAAGGGUAUGCAGGCGGUUAGGUAAGCCUGGUGUGAAAUUCACAAGCUUAACUUGGGAGGUGCACUAGGAACUACGUAACUUGAAUCACGAAGGGGAAACUGGA
rnacentral:rRNA from 1 species